rnacentral:lncRNA from 1 species
UCCUUUCUUCUCCACCUUCGUGGUUUUUGAUAUCCUUAUCUCCCCCCCCCCCCUCCUCCGAAUCCGGGGUUCCUAUUUAUUAGAGUAGCCUUAGACUCUAAUUUUAAAGGGAAAAAUCUAAUUAUAAGCUGCCAAAAUUAUGUUGAGAGAUUAGAAAAAUAUAGGAAAAUAUUUGUCUACCAUUUAAAAAGGCUUCUUGUGAUUUUAAGACUAACGAGG